CACUCCUGCGGGAGGCAGCAGUGGGGAAUUUUGGACAAUGGGCGAAAGCCUGAUCCAGCAAUGCCGCGUGCAGGAUGAAGGCCUUCGGGUUGUAGACUGCUUUUGUACGGAACGAAAAAGCUCCUUCUAAUACAGGGGGCCCAUGACGGUACCGUAAGAAUAAGCACCGGCUAACUACGUGCCAGCAGCCGCGGUAAUACGUAGGGUGCGAGCGUUAAUCGGAAUUACUGGGCGUAAAGCGUGCGCAGGCGGUUAUGUAAGACAGAUGUGAAAUCCCCGGGCUCAACCUGGGAACUGCAUUUGUGACUGCAUGGCUAGAGUACGGUAGAGGGGGAUGGAAUUCCGCGUGUAGCAGUGAAAUGCGUAGAUAUGCGGAGGAACACCGAUGGCGAAGGCAAUCCCCUGGACCUGUACUGACGCUCAUGCACGAAAGCGUGGGGAGCAAACAGGAUUAGAUACCCUGGUAGUCCCAUGA
rnacentral:rRNA from 1 species